rnacentral:rRNA from 1 species
ACAGCAGUAGCCGCGGUAAUACGUAGGGUGCGAGCGUUAAUCGGAAUUACUGGGCGUAAAGCGUGCGCAGGCGGUUGUGUAAGACAGGUGUGAAAUCCCCGGGCUUAACCUGGGAACUGCGCUUGUGACUGCACAGCUAGAGUAUGGCAGAGGGGGGUGGAAUUCCACGUGUAGCAGUGAAAUGCGUAGAGAUGUGGAGGAACACCGAUGGCGAAGGCAGCCCCCUGGGCCAAUACUGACGCUCAUGCACGAAAGCGUGGGGAGCAAACAGGAUUAGAUACCCCUGUAGUCCCUGUCUCUUAUAC